GGUAGUUGAGCUCAGUAGUUGAGCACUUGCCUCGUAUGCAUGAGGCAUGGAUUCAAUCCUUAGCACCA
rnacentral:tRNA from 1 species